rnacentral:rRNA from 1 species
UACGAAGGGGGCUAGCGUUGCUCGGAAUCACUGGGCGUAAAGGGUGCGUAGGCGGGUCUUUAAGUCAGGGGUGAAAUCCUGGAGCUCAACUCCAGAACUGCCUUUGAUACUGAGGAUCUCGAGUUCGGGAGAGGUGAGUGGAACUGCGAGUGUAGAGGUGAAAUUCGUAGAUAUUCGCAAGAACACCAGUGGCGAAGGCGGCUCACUGGCCCGGUACUGACGCUGAGGUGCGAAAGCGUGGGGAGCAAACAGG